rnacentral:rRNA from 1 species
AGUGAACGCUGGCGGUAGGCCUAACACAUGCGAGUCGAGCGGCAGCACAGUAAGAGCUUGCUCUUACGGGUGGCGAGUGGCGGACGGGUGAGGAAUACAUCGGAAUCUACUUUUUCGUGGGGGAUAACGUAGGGGAACUUACGCUAAUACCGCAUACGACCUACGGGUGAAAGCAGGGGAUCUUCGGACCUUGCGCGAUUGAAUGAGCCGAUGUCGGAUUAGCUAGUUGGCGGGGUAAAGGCCCACCAGGGCGACGAUCCGUAGCUGGUCUGAGAGGAUGAUCAGCCACACUGGAACUGAGACACGGUCCAGACUCCUACGGGAGGCAGCAGUGGGGAAUAUUGGACAAUGGGCGCAAGCCUGAUCCAGCCAUACCGCGUGGGUGAAGAAGGCCUUCGGGUUGUAAAGCCCUUUUGUUGGGAAAGAAAAGCAGCAGGUUAAUACCCCGCUGUUCUGACGGUACCCAAAGAAUAAGCACCGGCUAACUUCGUG